AACGAACGCUGGCGGCAGGCUUAACACAUGCAAGUCGAACGCCCGUAGCAAUACGGGAGUGGCGGACGGGUGAGUAACGCGUGGGAACGUGCCCUGAGGUACGGAAUAACUGCGGGAAACUGCAGCUAAUACCGUAUGAGCCCCGCAAGGGGGAAAGAUUUAUCGCCUUAGGAGCGGCCCGCGUCGGAUUAGCUAGUUGGUGGGGUAACGGCUUACCAAGGCUUCGAUCCGUAGCUGGUCUGAGAGGACGAUCAGCCACACUGGGACUGAGACACGGCCCAGACUCCUACGGGAGGCAGCAGUGGGGAAUCUUGCGCAAUGGGGGCAACCCUGACGCAGCCAUGCCGCGUGAAUGAUGAAGGCCUUAGGGUUGUAAAGUUCUUUUGCCCGUGACGAUGAUGACGGUAACGGGAGAAUAAGCUCCGGCUAACUUCGUGCCAGCAGCCGCAGUAAGAC
rnacentral:rRNA from 1 species